rnacentral:tmRNA from 1 species
ACGCUUUCGUUCUGGCUCGCCAGUGAUUAUAUCUGAAGGGCUGGCUUGCCAGCUAUGGUGAUAAACGCGGUCGUAAUAAGCCGAUCGGACCCGGGGGCGGUACCCGGCGCCUCCACCAUUUUCUCUUUGCCGCGCCCUGCGGCCGGCUCUCCGGAGGAGAGCCGCAGGGCGAAAGCAAAGACCUAUGGGGG